rnacentral:rRNA from 1 species
CAGUCGCCGCGGGAAUACGUAGGUGGCAAGCGUUGUCCGGAAUUAUUGGGCGUAAAGGGCUCGCAGGCGGUUUCUUAAGUCUGAUGUGAAAGCCCCCGGCUCAACCGGGGAGGGUCAUUGGAAACUGGGAAACUUGAGUGCAGAAGAGGAGAGUGGAAUUCCACGUAUAGCGGUGAAAUGCGUAGAGAUGUGGAGGAACACCAGUGGCGAAGGCGACCCUCUGGUCUGUAACUGACGCUGAGGAGCGAAAGCGUGGGGAGCGAACAGGAUUAGAGACCCCCGUAGUCCCUGUCUCUUAUAC